UCUACGGUGCAUUCGCCCGUUUGACUUCAGUGGUGAAGUCACUGUCUGACCAAUCAGAAUUAAGCCCUAAGCCCUAAUAGUGCCACAGUGGACUGAAGCAUUAAAUGACCUUAUUGACACUUACUGUGGUAAUUUUAUAGUUUAUAUAUUGCAACUUAGUCCCUAACAUAUUAAUAUUGUUUUUAAAAUGUAAUAUUUUUAUAGACAAAAUCAAUUAAAUUAAAACAAAUUAAUCAACUCAACAAAUUAAUCAACUCAACAAAUUAAUCAACUCAUCUCCAUCUCCCUCACUUCAUCAUCGUGAACAGAAAUUGAAAAUAAAAAUUCUUCAUCCAUCAUCUCAUCUUGGCAUUUUUUCCCAACUACAAACUCAACGCAACAGUUAUCGUCUCAUCUUGGCAUUUUUUCCAAACACUGCAAACUCAACACAACAGUAAGCGUCCCAUUCACAGGUUUACCAUGAAAAACACCGACCAUUAUGAUUCGUACGACUAUCGAUGCCGUGACAGUGGUACAUCUGAUUCUGAAUCCGACAAUGGUCGGGAUGACAGUAAUUCGGUGUCCAGUGCGUACCAAGGUUCAAGUGAUGGUGAUGGCGAUGGCGAUGGUGAUAGUCACGGUGAAAAAUUUGUUGAAUUUGAUGCAGUUGUAGGUGAUAGAACAGUGAAAAUUAAUGCCCUUACUGCUGAUGAAAUUCGUGCUAUGGAAUUCGGUACAGUUGAUGAAGCUAAUGUGUUUUAUUUCAAGUAUGCUAAAUGUAAAGGGUUUGCCAUUAGGAAAAGUGAUGUUAGGACAAGAUCGACUGAGGAUGGACAAACAAUUAUAAUGAGGCAGUUUGUAUGCAAUAAACACGGUCUAAGAGAUACAAAACACUUAAGGAGGCUUGAUAGAAAAAGAGAACACAGACCUACGACCCGCACUAAUUGUCCCGCUAGGCUUCGUGUGCAUUACAACCCCCAGAAGGAUAUUUAUGUAGUGACAUGUUUUGAAGAGGCUCACAACCAUGAAUUAACACCAUCUAGGUUUGUCCACUUACACCCCAUUUAUCGUGAGAUUACUGCAGCAGAUAGAGCUCAAAUUGACGGUCUACAGUCAAAUGGAAUUAGAACUUGUCAUAUAAUGGGGUACAUGGUUGCUCAGAAGGGUGGACACGAUCGUGUUGGGUUUACAAAGAAGGAUCUGUACAAUUAUUUUGAUAGUAAAAUGCGUGCUAAUAUUAAAGAUGGUGACGUUGCCGCUGCUAUAAAUUAUCUAACUGUGAAGUCAUCUACUGAUCCCAUGUUAUAUGGUAAAUAUGCCGUAGACAUGGAUGGACGAAUGAAGUCUCUUUUUUGGGCUGAUGGAAGCAGUAGAUCUGACUAUUUUUGUUUUGGCGAUGUGAUUGCGUUCGACACGACUUACAAGAAGAACAAAUACAACUACCCAUUGGUUAUAUUUUCAGGGUGUAACCACCACUCUCAGACAGUUAUUUUUGGUGCUGCGUUGGUGUCAGAUGAAACGACAGAGACGUAUAAGUGGUUGUUGGAGUGUUUUUUAGAGUGCAUGGAAAAUAGAUACCCAGCAGCAGUUGUAACAGACGGAGAUGGGGCGAUGAGGGAAUCUAUAAAACAGGUGUUUCCGGAUGCGACACAUCGUUUAUGCGCUUGGCAUUUGAACAAGAAUGCGUCUGAGAAUGUAAAGAACUCGGCAUUUUUGAAAGAUUUUCAAAAAGCCAUGUACUCUAAUUUUACAAAGGAUCAAUUUGAAGAGUUUUGGUCAAAAAUAAUUAAAGAAAACGGACUUGAAGGAAAUCCUUGGGUUGCAAAAACGUACGAGAACAGGUCACUAUGGGCAACUGCAUAUCUACGUGAGAAGUUUUUUGGACGUAUAAGAACUACGUCUCAAUGUGAAGCCGUCAAUGCAGUCAUCAAGAGUUAUGUCAGGAAGAAAGGCUGCAUUUUUGAAUUUAUGCACAAUUUUGAUCAGGCUAUGAGAUCUUAUAGAAACAAUGAACUGAUUGCCGAUUAUAAAUCAAAGUUUUCAGAACCUGUGAUGACUACUCAACUGCGUGCCCUUGAGAGCCAUGCUGCGAAUGUUUAUACUAUGGAGAUUUUCAAGGAAGUCAGAGAUGAAAUAGUGAAGGCUGGAUCAUUGAUUGUUAAGGAAAAGUUAAUUCGCAACGGAUUUAAGACUUAUCGAUUUACAAAAUAUUGUUGUGAUAACUAUGACGUAGAGGUUGUGUAUGAUGGUGAAACACUUCAAUGUGAGUGUAGGUUAUGGGAUUCUCAUGGGAUUCCAUGUUCUCAUAUGUUUGGUGUCAUGAAGGAAGAACAUGUUAGUCUCAUUCCCACCGGUUUGAUUUUGUCGAGAUGGACGAAGGAUGCAAAAAUUCAGUACUUGAACAUGAAUUGUAAUGGUUCUGAUGAUUCUAAAAUGAUUGAGCUAGCUCGGUUUGGUGCAUAUUGUUCUGCAUUUACUGCCUUUUGCAAUGAAGCUUCAAAAAGGGAAGGUGUUUAUGGGGAAAUAAUGGGUGACAUUCUGAAGUUACACAAAAAGUAUUGCAGUACGGACGAUCCUAUUUUGGCAUCGAACUCAGUUGUAGGUGAUCCAAAUAUUGUGAAUAGCAAAGGUGCUCCAAAGAAAAGAAAGAAUGACAUAAAAUCUAUUAGGCGAUGUUCUAAAUGCAACAGUAGAACUCAUAAUGCAAGGAGUUGUUCGGUUGCGGAAAACGCGCCAUCUGAACAAAAUGUUGGUAUGACGUCGCGGCCAGUAACUGAUUCAUUCAGCCAGGUUGUGAAGAACAAGAAUGGAAAAAGAGGUCGCAUUGGUGGAAGUAGUGUGCAAAAUAAAUGUACAGAACCACCGAACUCUCGUGGCGCGAAUGUGACAGCGACUUCUCGUGCGGAAGUUGGAAGCACAAGCAUACCCAUGCCUGCAAUGUAUGGAUUGCAACCCGUGUUGCCAGCGGUACAACCGAUGUUGCAUCCAAUGCAUGUACAACCGUUAAUCCCACUAUAUCCAACGACAGUUGCGGAAAAUUCGGGUUCGUGUUUCGGUAGGCCACAACGACUGAUGAACAAUGGUGGUACUUGAACGAGCAAAUAAGUAGCUGUAAUUUGACCAGGCAUGACUUUGGAGGUGAUUUUUAGUGGAUGGAUGAACAAUGGGCUGAGUAUUUAGGUAAUUACGUUUACGAUGAGGUUGAACAGAAUGUCGAUCUCAGUGACAUUGAAAGUGAUGAAGGUGAAGAAGAGAUGGAUGAAAAUUUCGGUGAUCCCGUGGUUGAAGAAAAUGGCAUUUCAUUCAAUUAUCGUGUCACUGCUGCUUGUGUAAGAGGAAAGAAUGUUUUCCACUUUCCAUCUAAUGUUGCUGCCAAUUGGUUAUUGCCGUUGCAAACUGAGAUAGACAUUGUCGAUGUUCAUACCGAUGCUGUUUACCCAUGUGUGUUGAAGACUGGUAGGAGGCCAGGGGAGAGAUAUCUUUGCUUAGGUUGGUAUGAGUAUGUUAAAGCAACUCGUCUGAGGGCUGGUGAUGUUCUUGAGUGCACUGUGGCAGAUCCUCCUACAAGAAUGUUUGUUCGUUUUAUGAUGUAAUACGAAUAAUUUUAGGCGUAUAAUUAAACUUGGUUGAAGAUGGAAAGUAAUUUUCUUUGAUGUUUUGUUAAGUAGUUGGUAUGUAGUUUGUUUUGAUGUUGUCUGUUUUGGUGUUGAAAUGAAUCAAAUGUUGAGUUUCAUUAUGUACGUUUGCAGUGUA